AGACAGCAGUAGCCACGGUAAUACGUAGGUCCCGAGCGUUGUCCGGAUUUAUUGGGCGUAAAGCGAGCGCAGGCGGUUAGAUAAGUCUGAAGUUAAAGGCUGUGGCUUAACCAUAGUACGCUUUGGAAACUGUUUAACUUGAGUGCAAGAGGGGAGAGUGGAAUUCCAUGUGUAGCGGUGAAAUGCGUAGAUAUACGGAGGAACACCGGUGGCGAAAGCGGCUCUCUGGCUUGUAACUGACGCUGAGGCUCGAAAGCGUGGGGAGCAAACAGGAUUAGAGACCCGCGUAGUCCCUGUCUCUUAUACC
rnacentral:rRNA from 1 species